rnacentral:rRNA from 1 species
UACGAAGGGGGUUAGCGUUGUUCGGAAUUACUGGGCGUAAAGGGCGCGUAGGCGGCGUGUCAAGUCAGGCGUGAAAGCCCCGGGCUCAACCUGGGAACCGCGCUUGAGACUGGCAUGCUCGAGUUCGGGAGAGGAUGGUGGAAUUCCCAGUGUAGAGGUGAAAUUCGUAGAUAUUCGCAAGAACACCAGUGGCGAAGGCGGCUCACUGGCCCGGUACUGACGCUGAGGUGCGAAAGCGUGGGGAGCAAACAGG